rnacentral:rRNA from 1 species
GUGCCAGCAGCCGCGGUAAUACGUAGGGCGCAAGCGUUGUCCGGAAUUAUUGGGCGUAAAGAGCUCGUAGGCGGUCUGUUGCGUCCGCUGUGAAAACCCAGGGCUUAACCCUGGGCUUGCAGUGGAUACGGGCAGACUAGAGGUAGGUAGGGGAGAAUGGAAUUCCCGGUGUAGCGGUGAAAUUCGUAGAUAUUGGGAAGAACACCGGUGGCGAAGGCGGCCAUCUGGACCGUAUCUGACGCUGAGGCGCGAAAGCGUGGGGAGCAAACAGGAUUAGAUACCCUGGUAGUCCACGCCGUAAACGAUGUGUGCUAGACGUUGGGGAGCCUAGCUCUUCGGUGUCGCAGCUAACGCUUUAAGCACACCGCCUGGGGAGUACGGCCGCAAGGUUAAAACUCAAAGGAAUUGACGG